AUACGUAGGGUGCAAGCGUUAAUCGGAAUUACUGGGCGUAAAGCGUGCGCAGGCGGUUUUGUAAGACAGAGGUGAAAUCCCCGGGCUCAACCUGGGAACUGCCUUUGUGACUGCAAGGCUAGAGUACGGCAGAGGGGGAUGGAAUUCCGCGUGUAGCAGUGAAAUGCGUAGAUAUGCGGAGGAACACCGAUGGCGAAGGGAAGCCCCUGGGCCUGUACUGACGCUCAUGCACGAAAGCGUGGGGAGCAAACAGGAGUAGAGACCCUGGUAGUCCACGCCCUAAACGAUGUCAACUGGUUGUUGGGUCUUCAUUGACUCAGUAACGAAGCUAACGCGUGAAGUUGACCGCCUGGGGAGUACGGCCGCAAGGUUGAAACUCAAAUGAAUUGACGGGG
rnacentral:rRNA from 1 species